rnacentral:rRNA from 1 species
UUAAAGGAAUUGACGGGGCCGCACAAGCGGAGGAACAUGUGGUUUAAUUCGAUGAUACGCGAGGAACCUUACCUGGGCUUAAAUGGGGAGUGACAGCUGUCGAAAGAUGGUUUUCUUCGGACACUCUUCAAGGUGCUGCAUGGUUGUCGUCAGCUCGUGCCGUGAGGUGUCGGGUUAAGUCCCAUAACGAGCGCAACCCUUACCGUUAGUUACCAUCAAGUUAAGCUGGGGACUCUAGCGGGACUGCCACCGUAAGGUGAGAGGAAGGUGGGGAUGACGUCAAAUCAGCACGGCCCUUAUGUCCAGGGCUACACACGUGUUACAAUGGCCGGUACAAAGGGCAGCUACUUCGCGAGAAGAUGCUAAUCUCGAAAGCCGGUCUCAGUUCGGAUCGAAGUCUGCAACCCGACUUCGUGAAGCUGGAUUCGCUAGUAAUCGCGCAUCAGCCAUGGCGCGGUGAAUACGUUCCCGGGCCUU